GCAAAUUUUCAAUAUGUCCUAAGUAACAUUUUGAUUUUAUCGAGAAAAUCCAAUUCCAAGUUUGGGGAUUCAUUUUCAAUUCCUAUUUAUCCAUCAAACCGAAAAUCAUAUAAUGAAUACGCGCAAACGACAUCAGAUAACAGCAUUUUGUGUUUCCUAAUUAAAGAUUUGGUUUAAGUUUAAAAUAACAUUAGUUUUUUGCAUUAAAAUAGUUUUACGUCGUUUGGUGUCAGAAUACAUAAAUAAGACAUUUUGUUAAGUCAUUCUGAAGCCUCUCUGUUACUUUCGUCGGGUGCGUUACGUCGCGUUACGCGAAUUUAUGUUGCUUUCGUCGGUGUGUUUACGUCAUGUAGCCAGCUGUCAUGUUAGUUAAGACAUGUUACUUACGUCGUUGUGAUGUUUAUGUUGUGUGAAAAUUGGCACUUAAGCCAAACGGAUUCCUCUUGAAAUGAAGCAAGUGCUUCCCACGCAGGAAUGGUACCAGCAACAAAUUGAAUUGUAAAGCCUAGCGGCAAUAAUAGACAUCAAUGAAGGGAACAAAGUAAGGACAAUCUUAUUUCGGAAAUCGGUUCAUCAUGUGCAAGUCGGCGUUUAUUCAAAAAUACUCAGCUGCAGGACGUCGCCGAGCACUGCUACACCGUGCAGAGCAUAGUG